GAUGAACGCUGGCGGCGUGCCUAAUACAUGCAAGUUGAGCGAACAGACGAGGAGCUUGCUCCUCUGACGUUAGCGGCGGACGGGUGAGUAACACGUGGAUAACCUACCUAUAAGACUGGGAUAACUUCGGGAAACCGGAGCUAAUACCGGAUAAUAUAUUGAACCGCAUGGUUCAAUAGUGAAAGACGGUUUUGCUGUCACUUAUAGAUGGAUCCGCGCCGCAGUAGCUAGUUGGUAAGGUAACGGCUUACCAAGGCGACGAUGCGUAGCCGACCUGAGAGGGUGAUCAGCCACACUGGAACUGAGACACGGUCCAGACUCCUACGGGAGGCAGCAGUAGGGAAUCUUCCGCAAUGGGCGAAAGCCUGACGGAGCCACGCCGCGUGAGUGAUGAAGGUCUUCGGAUCGUAAAACUCUGUUAUUAGGGAAGAACAAAUGUGUAAGUAACUAUGCACGUCUUGACGGUACCUAAUCAGAAAGCCACGGCUAACUACGUG
rnacentral:rRNA from 1 species